GCGGUGGAGCAUGUGGCUUAAUUCGAAGCAACGCGCAGAACCUUACCAGCCUUUGACAUCCUAGGACGACUUCUGGAGACAGAUUUCUUCCCUUCGGGGACCUAGUGACAGGUGCUGCAUGGCUGUCGUCAGCUCGUGUCGUGAGAUGUUGGGUUAAGUCCCGCAACGAGCGCAACCCUCGUCCUUAGUUGCCAUCAUUAAGUUGGGCACUUUAAGGAAACUGCCGGUGAUAAGCCGGAGGAAGGUGGGGAUGACGUCAAGUCCCCAUGGCCCUUACAGGCUGGGCUACACACGUGCUACAAUGGCAUCUACAGUGGGCAGCUAUUCCGCAAGGAUGCGCUAAUCUCCAAAAGAUGUCUCAGUUCGGAUUGUCCUCUGCAACUCGAGGGCAUGAAGGCGGAAUCGCUAGUAAUCGCGGAUCAGCAUGCCGCGGUGAAUACGUUCCCAGGCCUU
rnacentral:rRNA from 1 species